rnacentral:lncRNA from 1 species
GCCCUUCCUCCACCUGCCCCUGUCCAACCUGUAGCUAAGGUGGCCUGACCCAGGAAUGGCCCCUCCCUACAGGGAGUUGUAAAAGUUGCUAAUUAAGGUCUUCUCCUAGGCUGCCUCCUGCCUGGACCACUCCAUUUGCCUUCCCCACCGCCCCACCCCCGCCGGUCCAUCUGCUCCUCACCUUUUGGCCAUCCCACCUGGGCCCUCUCCUGGACCUCGUAUGCAGGAAGGAGAGAGAUAAGGGGGAAGAAGACAGGAAAAGAAAGGAAGCCUAGGAUGAAUAACACGUCUCUAAUGUUCAAACUUCAACACGUGAGGAAGCAGGACUCGUCACUGAUAACUGGUGGUAUCACUGUCUUUCUCCAGAAGGACCCCAAGGCUCAAAGGGCAGGUAUGACAGAGCGCUGGAAAGUGCGGUAUCACGCAUGCUUACACGCCACAGGUCACCGCCACCCGACCAGUUGCCCAGACAAGAUGCUGUUUGCCUCCAUCUUCUUCUGGUCCAAGAAGUGCUCCUGGGGUCUGCCCCAAGUGCCUCUUGGCUUGGUUCUCUGUGCCCUCCUUAUCGCAUCCCCACCCACCAUCUAGGCUUAGAAGUGACUCACCUGCAGGAACGGCUCAGGAUUCCCUUUGCACAAGAACACCAGGUGGCCCUCCAGGCAUCCCUCUGGGUGUCUCCUUCACCUCCGUCUCCCUCACACCAGUGCUGUCCCUCUUGGCUGGCUCCAGGCUCUCCCUCCCUCCCUUGGGUCUGAGAACUGCUGUCCUCUUUGGGGGCUGGCUUCUCUCCUCAAACCUCCUCUCAUCCCUCUGACCUCAGCUUGAACGCCCCUUCUGCAGGGAGCCUACCUGGCCCCUGCAACAGUCGAUCCCAGCCCAGCUCUUGACUCCUAGGCCCCACCUCCGCCCUCAGGGGGUUCCUUGUCUCUUCCACUGGCAUGUGAGCUCCCAGAGGACAGGUGCAAGUCCUCCUCCCCAUAGCUCUCCAGGACCUGGCACUUAGUAGAUGCUCAACAAAAACUGACUGGGUGGGAGAAGCCCCAUGCUCUGCUUCCUGAGAUGAAGGAUGCUUUUUCAGUUCUCUUUCUCUAGUCAGAGCCAUGAAAAUGUGUGAAUUGGAGGACAUCGCUAAUUUAGAAAAGUGUUGGAGUGGAAGCUAUUAUGGUUUGGGUCUUCAAUGUUCUCUAAGGGCCACGUGUUGAAGGCUUGGUCUCCUGCCGGCAGCACUAAUGGGAGGCCAUUUAGGAGGUGUGCCCUUGAGGGCUCACGCAGCUCCUCCUGGUCUCUCUGCCUCCUGGCUGUGCGGAGGUGAAGGGUCUCUUCUGCAUGCACUCCCACCAUGAUAUAGUGCCACCACGGGCCCAAAGCAACAGAAACCACUCACUGAAACCUCUGAAACCCUGAGCCAAACAAACCUUUCUUUCUCACGAGUGGAUUUCUCUGGUAUUUUGCACAGUGACGGAAAGCUGAGGAGCACAGAAGCCAAUUGAAAUUGGUGAUGAAAUUUGGAGAGAUGGGAAAAAAUCCAGUUGUUUGUAGAAGGGAGAGGGCUGUGUAAUGUCUGCUGAGCACAUAAGGGCGU